rnacentral:rRNA from 1 species
AUUGAACGCUGGCGGAAUGCUUUACACAUGCAAGUCGAACGGCAGCACGGGGCAACCUGGUGGCGAGUGGCGGAACGGGUGAGUAAUACAUCGGAACGUGCCCAAUCGUGGGGGAUAACGUAGCGAAAGUUACGCUAAUACCGCAUACGAUCUACGGAUGAAAGCGGGGGAUCGCAAGACCUCGCGCGAUUGGAGUGGCCGAUGUCAGAUUAGCUAGUUGGUGGGGUAAAGGCCUACCAAGGCAACGAUCUGUAGCUGGUCUGAGAGGAUGAUCAGCCACACUGGGACUGAGACACGGCCCAGACUCCUACGGGAGGCAGCAGUGGGGAAUUUUGGACAAUGGGGGCAACCCUGAUCCAGCCAUUCCGCGUGAGUGAAGAAGGCCUUCGGGUUGUAAAGCUCUUUCAGCAGGAACGAAACGGCGAGUACUAAUACUGCUCGCUAAUGACGGUACCUGAAGAAGAAGCACCGGCUAACUACGUG